GUGGUGACGACUAUGACAUGGGUUGGUUAUUUGAUUUUGCAGAUUUAUUGAAGUAGUAAUCAAAUCAAGGCUAUUCUCUGCAUGUGGCUGUACGAUGAAAUCUCUUACUGUUAUUCCUACUCAGCUUGCACUACAUGGAGCACGACUGUUAGAUUGUAAUAGGUUUUCUUUUGAUGCCCCUUCGAGCAUUUAGAUGCCACCUCUUCUCCAAUAUUGUUCCAUGAACUCUCUCUCUCUCUCUCUCUCUCAAUGGGUGGGGUUUGUACAAAUUGAGGAGUAUUGCAGUAAUAGCAGCUCAUGCAUUGAAGGAGCUGACUUUGGAAACCACAGAUUGGUCUAUAAUCCGAAGAGAAGAUUGGAAGGAAUUCUAGUUGAUGUCCUUCUUUCGCUUUACUUUCUUCCCCUUUUUGUUAAGUGGCUCAUUCUUCAUUGGGGAGCUUUUCAGAACGAGACUUUAAUUGUUAUGGGGAAGUAAGAUCUCAUAGCCUACGAAACCGUUCAACUGCUCAUUCUUUAAAUUUGUUUAUUUUUUUCUCACUCUUCUCGUCCCUCUCAUCUGUUUUCAUGAUCCACAGAGCUUUAGUUUUUAAGCUUGAAUGGACAGGAAAGAAAAGAAAGUUCACCAUUAAGUUUGAAGAUUAUAGUUAAAUUUUAAGCUACUGAGCUGCUAGCUAGACAAUGGCCCUGGAUCUAGAGGCAUGGUGUUGGAACUUGGAAAUUGAUGGAAUACUGUUGGAUUUGUGGCAAGCUAUGGUGAAGUUACUUCUCUAUCUUUCUCUCUCUCUCUCAACUCCCAACGAAUGGAUUGCAGAUUCACAUUGAUUAUUAGUCCUUUUGACCGUGGAAGUUGGAUUACUUUUCGAUUGCUUUGCUGGUGCAAUAUUCGUUGAAGAGGGUGCGCGGGGGAUUGACCCAAUAACCUGCCAACCACCGGCCAUAUAUCCUUAUUUGUUGUUGGUUGCAGAAAUGUUUGUUGCUAAACUUUGAAUCUCUUGAUCGAUCUGGAGUAUCAUGAUCAUGGGUAUGUGUGCCAGUGCAAAUGGAGUUGUUGAAAACACCAGCUCAUGAUGAGUUCCGAUUUCAAACUUGGUUUGAUGCUUCUUCAUUUGACGUUUAAAUGGUAUAUUUUCAAUUCAAGUACUGCUUAAAAGUUAGAAUAAAGUACUGAUGAACUCUAUCCUGCUCAUAAUUAUAUAUAGGUUCAGUUCAGAAGGUAAUCCUUGGAAGACUGGAACAGGACGUAAUCGUCGCAUCAAAGCAUAUAGGACGCGCGGGAUCUCCCUCCAUGCUAUAUAUCGUGAGGAGACUUUCAUAGUUCACGUACUCUACAAGUUAAAACUUUGACGUGUUGAUGCUCCCCAAGUCAUAUCUUGGCUGAGGUCUUUUAAUUGCAGAUAUAUCGGCACCGGAAGUUGAUGUAUGUCAACCUUUAAUUGCAAUAUUUUUCUGCAUUCUCUAGCCUCGGAUGAUAAUUUUGCUUACCAAAUGUAA